rnacentral:rRNA from 1 species
AGUGAACGCUGGCGGUAGGCCUAACACAUGCAAGUCGAACGGCAGCACAGUAAGAGCUUGCUCUUACGGGUGGCGAGUGGCGGACGGGUGAGGAAUACAUCGGAAUCUACUUUUUCGUGGGGGAUAACGUAGGGAAACUUACGCUAAUACCGCAUACGACCUACGGGUGAAAGCAGGGGAUCUUCGGACCUUGCGCGAUUGAAUGAGCCGAUGUCGGAUUAGCUAGUUGGCGGGGUAAAGGCCCACCAAGGCGACGAUCCGUAGCUGGUCUGAGAGGAUGAUCGGCCACACUGGAACUGAGACACGGUCCAGACUCCUACGGGAGGCAGCAGUGGGGAAUAUUGGGCAAUGGGCGCAAGCCUGAUCCAGCCAGACCGCGUGGGUGAAGAAGGCCUUCGGGUUGUAAAGCCCUUUUGUUGGGAAAGAAAAGCAGCAGGUUAAUACCCCGCUGUUCUGACGGUACCCAAUGAAUAAGCACCGGCUAACUUCGUG